AUGAACGCUAGCGGCAGGCCUAACACAUGCAAGUCGAGGGGUAACAGGAGAGCUUGCUCUCGCUGACGACCGGCGCACGGGUGCGGAACGCGUAUGGAACCUACCUCAAUCAGGGGGAUAGCCCAGGGAAACUUGGAUUAAUACCCCAUAGUAUUGUUUUAUUGCAUGAUAGAACAAUUAAAACUUCGGUGGAUUGAGAUGAGCAUGCGUCCUAUUAGCUUGUUGGUGAGGUAAUGGCUCACCAAGGCUACGAUAGGUAGGGGGCCUGAGAGGGUGAUCCCCCACACUGGUACUGAGACACGGACCAGACUCCUACGGGAGGCAGCAGUGAGGAAUAUUGGACAAUGGGCGAAAGCCUGAUCCAGCCAUGCCGCGUGCAGGAUGACGGCCCUAUGGGUUGUAAACUGCUUUUAUACGGGAAUAAACCUCUCUACGUGUAGAGAGCUGAAGGUACCGUAAGAAUAAGGACCGGCUAACUCCGUGCCAGCAGCUCUGUUAACACGGAGGAUCCAAGCGUUAUCCGGAUUUAUUGGGUUUAAAGGGUCCGCAGGCGGAAUAUUAAGUCAGUGGUGAAAGCCUACAGCUUAACUGUAGCACUGCCAUUGAUACUGGUAUUCUUGAGUAUGGUUGAAGUGGGCGGAAUACGUCAUGUAGCGGUGAAAUGCAUAGAUAUGACGUAGAACACCUAUUGCGAAGGCAGCUCACUAAGCCAUUACUGACGCUCAGGGACGAAAGCGUGGGUAGCAAACAGGAUUAGAUACCCUGGUAGUCCACGCCGUAAACGAUGAUAACUCGCUGUUGGCGAUAUACAGUCAGCGGCCAAGCGAAAGCGUUAAGUUAUCCACCUGGGGAGUACGCUCGCAAGAGUGAAACUCAAAGGAAUUGACGGGGGCCCGCACAAGCGGUGGAGCAUGUGGUUUAAUUCGAUGAUACGCGAGGAACCUUACCUGGGCUUAAAUGUAUUUUGACAGGCUGGGAAACCAGUCCUUCUUCGGACAAUUUACAAGGUGCUGCAUGGUUGUCGUCAGCUCGUGCUGUGAGGUGUCGGGUUAAGUCCCAUAACGAGCGCAACCCCUAUCCUUAGUUGCCAGCGAGUAAUGUCGGGGCUCUAAGGAAACUGCCGGUGCAAACCGUGAGGAAGGUGGGGAUGACGUCAAAUCAUCACGGCCCUUACGUCCAGGGCUACACACGUGCUACAAUGGCGCAUACAAAGGGCAGCUACAUGGUGACAUGAUGCUAAUCUCUAAAGUGCGUCUCAGUUCGGAUCGAAGUCUGCAACUCGACUUCGUGAAGCUGGAAUCGCUAGUAAUCGCGUAUCAGCAAUGACGCGGUGAAUACGUUCCCGGGCCUUGUACACACCGCCCGUCAAGCCAUGGAAGCUGGGAGUGCCUGAAGUCGGUGACCGCAAGGAGCUGCCUAGGGUAAAACUAGUAACUAGGGCUA
rnacentral:rRNA from 1 species